rnacentral:rRNA from 1 species
GCUGGAAUUGCUAGUAAUGGCAGGUCAGCAUACUGCCGUGAAUACGUUCCCGGGCCUUGUACACACCGCCCGUCACACCAUGAGAGUUGGAAAUACCCGAAGCCUGUGAGCUAACAGUAAUGAGGCAGCAGUCGAAGGUAGAGCCAAUGAUUGGGGUGAAGUCGUAACAAGGUACC